GACGUAGGGCGCGAGCGUUGUCCGGAUUUAUUGGGCGUAAAGAGCUCGUAGGCGGCUUGUCGCGUCGAAUGUGAAAUCUCGGGGCUCAACUCCGAGCUUGCAUUCGAUACGGGCAGGCUAGAGUUCGGUAGGGGAGACUGGAAUUCCUGGUGUAGCGGUGAAAUGCGCAGAUAUCAGGAGGAACACCGGUGGCGAAGGCGGCUUGCUGGGCCUUACCUGACGCUGAGGAGCGAAAGCGUGGGGAGCGAACAGG
rnacentral:rRNA from 1 species